ACCCUUGGCAUCUGGAAGUUCACAGGCUAGGGAUCAAAUCAGAGGUACAGCUGCUGGAUCACACCACAGCCACAGAAACUCAGGAUCCAAGCCCCACCUGCAACCUACACCACAGCUCACAGGAACGCCACAACCUUAACCCACUGAGUGAGGCCAAGGAUCUAACCUGCAUCUUCAUGGAUCCCAGUCAGGUUCGUUUACUGCUAAGUCGCAAAGGGAACUCCCCAAAGCCAAUAACUUAGAGAACAUUUACUAACACAAAAUCCUGGGAGAGACGCUGACCCCAAAGAGAGAAGAUGAAGCGAUGGUCUGGAAAGUGUGAACUCAUGAGGCAGAGCAAGGUCAGUUCCCCAAUAAGCGCCCAGAGUUGCUGGGUGAAAGCGGGGUAACGGCUGAUAGGCACAGUUGAAAUAAAGAGAUUUGGAGAGGAAUUCGUAUUCUCACCCUACAGGAAUUUAUUUUUAAUUAUAGAUAAUUAUGCUGAAUUACAACAAGAUGAUUUGAACCAUUACGCUAAUUCAGGAGUAAUAAAGCAUGAAUUACUGAUGCAAUUUUUAAAAAUGUAACCUAUCAAUCAACACUGGAUCAGCAACAGACAAAGGCUCUGAUGUGACAUUCGUAUCGUACAGGAUUAUAGUUAAAAAUGGCCUUCCACUUACCCCUUAAGAGCCCCCAGCGAGCGAUGAGGUGGGAACACCGGGACUCUGUGAAGAGCCCCGUGAAGAUACCCGUGCAGGGGUACCCCUCCAGGCUACCCCUCCCCGCGGGCUGGCUCUCAGAAUCCCUGGUUUUUAGACGUAGUGGAACACAAUACUUUGUGUCCGGUCAGACCUUGGUUCAAAUCCCAGCUUUGACCUUGGCUAGCUAUAUAACCUUCAGAAAGUAACUUCCAUUUCUCCAAGCCUCGGUUGCCUCAUCUAUAAAAUGGGAACAAGAGCCUAACACACAAGGCUCUUCUGAUGAUUGCAUGAUAAGGUCCAUAAAAUUUCUGAGGCAGUGAAAAUUCAACAGCUGGUCAGGGGGAUAAGGUCCUGCCCUGGACUGAGGUCACUAAUAGAAUCACAUGUGGCUCUUAUGCUGAAAAACUAGCCCCUAGCCUUCCAGGGAGCUCCUCCAGACCCAGUUUUGUUCAGCAGGACAGAGCAGUCUGUCUAGUUUUCAUGUAACAUUUCAUGAGGGUUAAGGCUCACAGUCAAAGGAUGGUUCCUGAGCUGGCAGGUCAAGUAAGAUCCAUCAGUCGGUGCUCGGAGAAAGUGCUGGGCUUGCUGAUGAAACAUCUGCCCAAUGUGUAUUCUCUCUCCUGAACCUAAGAGGCCAUGUCUGAAGACAACAAAGACGGGGGAGGGUGGGGGAAGGAGAUGAUAAAUGUCUCCCACACAGUGACUGCUAAUUUCUAUAGCAAGACUGGCGACCUUACUCAAAGUGAAAAGACUUCACGAAGAAGAGGGGGAAAACCCAGGAUUAAGCAUUAUCUAUGAGUCAGUUUUGCUUGCAUAUUAUUACAUAAUGCCCUCUUUAGAGAGGAACAAAACAGAAAAAUAUUGCCCAAGUUCAUAGAGCCAGUCAUUGGUAGAGUCCGGAUUAAAACUCAGAUCUUUCUUACUCCAAAAAUCACAAGCUUUCAGUUAAACCAUACUAUCUUUACCAAAAUAACUGACUUGUAUUUCAUGGUGCUGCUAUUUUAAGUAGAAGGGGGAGAAAAGAUGGUGGGUGUGGAAGGAAGAAAACCCAGAAUGUACCUAUAAGAACUGCAAGUAAGUCAAGAAGAAAGAACCUAUCCACACACAAGCUGAACAGAAAUGAAUGACCACACACACAAAAGCACUGGGCACAAAAAUACAUGAUCCAUCUCAGGCUAUAAGACCUUUGUAUCGCCUGGGAGCCAGAGUUAACCAGACGAAAUGGCAAAGGCAAUGAGGUCAAUGGCCUGUGGAGGGCAGCAGAGAGUUGGGGUUUGAUGAGCACCUUUGGCUCCCAAACUCGGGGUAGAGGUGGAAGUCAACAAAAAGCCUUGCCUCAGAGAGACUUUAUCGAUAACUGAGAAUCAACUGGGCUCUGUGCAAAGAGGUCACCCUCGGUCAGGGUAGACCUGGAGACGGGUCUUUGCAUUUGGGUCCAGACAGGCAUUUGCAUUAAGGCAGGGUGGCAAGAGGGCUCUAACAAGAGAUCAAGCUGCCCAGCAGUGAGUUCAAAGACCAUGGAUUGUGAAUGGAGUUAGAGCUGGGCACACGCUGGGGCUUGAACACACUCAGCUCUGAUGGACAGGCGUGGCUUAGUGCCCUGUGUUCCCUCGGGGCAAGAAAAUGGAGCUGGGUGGGCACAGUCCUACUAGGUUACUUGACUGACCCUCAGAAAGCAUUUGAAUUUGAGACACCUGGUUUUAAAGAGAUGUUAUCCCAAGAGAUAACUUUGACAACAGUCAUCACUGCAAUUUUCAAUGUCAAAGACAUAAGCAGGAUUCAGAGCCUACACCAUUUCUUUUCCCCUCCACCACGUAAGGGCAGAUUUCUCAUACACAUCACGGAAUGGGCUAAAAGCGGAGACAAUCUGACCACCACCGCACCCCCCCACCGCCAAAAAAAAAAAAGAGUAAAGACAAUAUCCACAUUCUCAUUAACAUCUUAAAUUUAAGGAGAGCCUACAUGGAUCUGAUCCCAUAACCAGUCUAGUGAACGCAAGGAUGCAUGUGGUAUGAUCACUCCCCGCCGUAGUGUAAUUGGGGAAAUGGGAUCCGUACUACGUAAGUAGGUCUGCAAUGCCGCCUUGGCAUCUGUUAAAUGCCAAGUAAGAGUGUAAACAAUAAGGGCUAGAGGUAUUCUAAAGUUUAUUGUGGGCUGAGAUGGUUUAGGUUGACUUCACAAAGAAGUAGAAUAUUAACUGGGUCUUGGAUAAAGGUUAGGCUUCAAUAGUUAGAACAAUAGAAAGGAGGGUAUUCCAAGAAAGGGACACUGCAUGAGCUCAAGAGAGGCAGCAGGAAGAUGUGGGGCCAAGGUUAGGGACGACGAGAUCAGCCUGGCUACAGUCCGGAAUUCACGCGGAAAGAGGAGCAUGCAUGCAUCCCGGGACUUUAAGAAUAAUCCCACUCUCAGGUUUGUAAGACCACACAGGUUACCAUGGCCCCUAAUCUUUAAUUUGGGAAAAUGAGAUUAUCAUACAUCACCACUCCCUAAACUCUGAUACACUCUUGAAGCCAGGAAAGUUAAGACCUGUUGAUAAUUCUACCUUUGUGUCUCUACCAUAGUAUUUGGGACUUGGACGGCUCAAUGAACCCAGGACCAUUUGUUCUCUGUACUUUGAGGGUUGCAUUCCCAAUGAAUAUUUACUUAUCAAAGACCAUAUUAGGGCCUAAGGCUGAGUUUUCAGGUGUAUAUUCCAAAGUUAUUUUUUUUCCUUUUGGAAUGUGCAAUAUAUCACAAGAGCCUAGCUUUCGAAAUGAAACAUCAUUGAGCAAAUGCAUCCAUCUAGCUUAAGUGAGGCAUUUCUUUUCUCCUUACCGCGUAAGGGCAGGUCUCAUAUGCGCUUAGCAUCCACUGAAGGGCGAGCAAAUCACACAGUGUCUCCAAACAGCUGUGUGUGGCAGACUUGAACUUUUUCUUUUUUCCUUAAGGGACAUAUGAUUACUGGAUGGUUUUAGGAGACAAUUCUUUAUAACUAAUAACAGCAGAUGUAACUCAUUCUUCUUCAUUAAUUCACCCAUCAUAUGCAAUUUUUGUUAUAAAAGCUUUGCUAGAGAAGAAAUACCUGUUUGUGACUGAAUAGAAGAAGGAAUGAAUGAGUAGAUACCAACAGAAGGACUGCUGAUGAUACUUUCAAAAUGUUUCUCCAAGUGUAGGCAGUGGACCCCAUAGUGAAGUCAGCCAGAUUGCUGAUCUAAAAUGCGGGGCUCUCCAAGGUAAGGCUUGGAAGUGUGCACCUUAAGUUCCUGGGUGAUUCUCAUAGCUCUGAAGGCUAGCAUCUUUGCCUCAGAGGAAGGUGCAAGCAGAACUUGGGUGGACGUGGAAGCUGAGCUGUGCAGUAUCUGAACAGAUCCUGAUGGUAGUGGGGAGAAGCCAGGAGAGAGAACCUCAGUUAGGCAGAAGCACUCUGAUGUCUGCUCUGAGGGGGUGGUUUGCAGAACUAUACUUCAAUUUAAAAAAGAAGAUAAAUUUGAAAAAACUAAAAAAAAAAAAAAAAAGAAAGAAAGAAAGAAAAGAAAACAGUAUUGGGUCUGGGACACUGAGCCCUGCCUCCUAGGAACGAGACACGUAAGAUGUCACAUACCAGCACAGACAAUGACGGCUCCCAGGACACUGCUGCUGCCUUAGGUUUGCCGCUGCUCUUAGCAUCUUUCCAAAAAGGGGCCAUCCCAACCUGGUGGUAAGGAAGAAGCUCCCCAGAGCAGGACAGAAUCCCACGGGGCAUGUCAGAGCAGACAAAGACUGGGUCCUAUGGGAGGAGUAAGUGGCUAUUAUAAGUUGUUUGGGCUUCUAUCUGUAGGUGACAGGGACCUCAAGACAUUUGCUUUUUAAGAUGAGAGCUGAUAUAUCCAAAAGUGCACUUGAGAAGAUGCAGCUGAGAAACAUGUACAGGUGGGAGGGGGCAGAAAACACAGGCAGGGAAUCCAGUAAGAAGAUUGCUGCUCAAGUUUACCCAUUAGAGUCCGUCUCCGUUUCCUGGAGAGUUUUCACAUUUCUGGCCAGUGCUGAUUAUUUCCGACUGACUCUCGAAAGUGUAGACGUUCUGUCUUAUCACUCUGUGUGUUUCCCACUAUGUAUGGUGCUGAAAUGAACCAAGCCAUGCCCAUCUCCUGGUAAUGACAAUACACUUGAUGUCUACUUCAAUGCAAAUCACAGUUAUCAGCCUUUUAUUUUUUAAUUCACCAUAUUAUUUUUUUUAAUUCACCCUACAAAUACGUACCAGAUUCAUAUUUUGUUCUGGAAUGAUGAGAGACGUUAUCUGCCCCCAUGGGCAGUGCCGUUCACUGCUUCCAAUGGACACGGAGGUGGGAGUGUGUGAGGGUGCUGCAGGUGCAAAUAACACCAGCAAAGGUCCAGGGACCCCAAAGAGAACUAUCUCCUCCAGGGAGGUAAGAACUGCCCCACAAGAGAUGGGGUAGUGGCAGUGGAGGAAAAGCAUGACCUUGAAUGUCCUACAAAGGAGUUUGACAUGUAACCUCCAGACACUAGGAAGCCAUUGAAGGCUUUGAAGCAGGUGAGUUCAUGGACCAGAUCUGGGUUUUAGAACAUAAACUUUCUAAGCAAGCACAGCAUGAACUGGCAAAGGUAGAUUCCUGGGAUGGGCACGUUCACUGGAACGUGGCUGCCACUGUCCAGGUGAAAGACGGUAGGGGCCCAAGUGAAGGCGCCAAUCUGAAGAGGCCAAAAGACCACGAGGAGAUCAAUCUAUAAGCCUAAGGAGGAGCUGAAAAACAUCCCUGCCCUGAUGACCACGUGGUCCAAAGAAUGCCGCUGAUUAAACAUGCCUCGGGGAGGAAGAGUGUGUACGAGGCAGGCUGACACCUUGGGUUCUAAUUCAUUCCUCACUGCAGUUAGAGCAUCACGGUUUGCACUGAACUCACAGACCUGGCCACAGCCCUCCGCUGCUCUGAGCUCUCGCGUGGACCACCUUCCUCAGCCUCAUCAAGUUCCAACUCAUUACCGCCUAGGCCUACAUUCAUCAGCUGCCUGCUUGAUGGAAGUGGUGGCAGUAGGUGUCCUUUCAGGAAAGGGUGGCUACAUGGUGAAUUAAGAGGCAGCGCCUACCUUUUUUUAAAUCAAUGUUUUGAAUUAAUUAAUACCUAAUAAUUCAAUUUUUUGAAUUAAUUAGUGCAAGAAACAUUUCCUGAGCGCCUCUGUGUAACCAGUACAUUAUCAAAGUAGCGAAAAGAACAGACAAAAGUCCCCACCCUCAUGUAGGAGACACUCUGGUGAGAGAGGCAGAUAAUACCCAGCAAGAAAGGGAAGAGCAUCCCAGGCAGAGCACACAGCAAGUGCAAAGGCCCUGGGGUGGGAGCCUGACUGCCUCCUACACAUCCUACCUUACUGAGGCUCACAAGCUCAGAGUCACUGAUUUAUUCAUCUCUCCCAUAAGCCAGACCAUGUGCCAGGCACUUGAGAUACCAGAUGAAUAAGUUUCACUGCCAGUAAAUCCACACAUAGAGACGAAUGACAGGCUGAUGCUGCUUAAAAACUCAAACUGACUCUUCUAACUCACGAGGUCAAUGUUAGUUCAAAGGGACAAUUUGGCUUUUUUCAUUGGCUGUUUUCAGAGAGGGGCAAUGUAUCACUUUAAACAUAAAAUGUCACCCUUAUCUAUUUUAUGUGUAGAGAUGACACAUUUACUAUUUUAUUUGAAAAAACGAUUCUU
rnacentral:lncRNA from 1 species